rnacentral:rRNA from 1 species
AAAUCCCAUAAAGUUGUUCUCAGUUCGGAUUGUAGUCUGCAACUCGACUACAUGAAGCUGGAAUCGCUAGUAAUCGUAGAUCAGCAUGCUACGGUGAAUACGUUCCCGGGUCUUGUACACACCGCCCGUCACACCACGAGAGUUUGUAACACCCGAAGCCGGUGGAGUAACCUUUUAGGAGCUAGCCGUCGAAGGUGGGACAAAUGAUUGGGGUGAAGUCGUAACAAGGUAGCCGUAUCGGAAGGUGCGGCUGGAUCA